rnacentral:rRNA from 1 species
GACGAACGCUGGCGGCGUGCCUAACACAUGCAAGUCGCACGGGAUUGGGGGCAACUCCAGUUCAGUGGCAGAUGGGUGCGUAACACGUGAGGAACUUGUCCGACGGCGGGGAGUAGCCGGCCCGAACGGCCGGGUAAGUACCGCGUACGCUCAUUUGGGGACAUCCCCGGGUGAGGAAAGCAGCCGCAAGGUUGCGCCGAUGGAGAGCCUCGCGGCGUAUCAGCUAG